rfam:Hepatitis C virus genotype 4, genome
CAACCGGGUGGCCGGAGCCCUCAGAAAACUUGGGGUACCCCCGCUGA